rnacentral:rRNA from 1 species
GGAAUAUUGUUUAAUCUGCGAAAGCGGGAAACAGCAACGCCGCGUGUGCGAUGAAGGCCUUCGGGUUGUAAAGCACUUUUUGAAGGGAAGAGGAAGGACGGUACCUUCAGAAUAAGCCUCGGCUAACUACGUGCCAGCAGCCGCGGUAACACGUAGGAGGCGAGCGUUAUUCGGAUUUACUGGGUGUAAAGCGCGUGCAGGCGGUUCGGUAAGUUGGAUGUGAAAGCUCCUGGCUUAACUGGGAGAGGUCGUUCAAUACUGUCGGACUUGAGAGCGGUAGAGGGAGGUGGAAUUCCGGGUGUAGUGGUGAAAUGCGUAGAUAUCCGGAGGAACACCAGUGGCGAAAGCGGCCUCCUGGACCGAUUCUGACGCUCAGACGCGAAAGCUAGGGUAGCAAACG